rnacentral:lncRNA from 1 species
GGAAUUCACUGCUUUUUAACUCAAUUUUCAUAAGCCAGUGUUGCUCACAUCUGGGAUAAAGGGGCUAACCUGAUUCUGAAUGAAGACUGCUUCAGAACCUCUUUCCAAGAUGGCUUAUACAUUUGCUACCAUAAUGGUUCUGUUCAGUGUGUCUAAUGAAGGUUCUGAUCAAACUUUUUUUUCUGACUUGUGGAGACAGAAGAAUAUGUCAAGGCACUAACAGGAAAAUCCUGCCUCCUGAAACUUAAAACUUUGUUCUUUGUUCCUUGCUAGAACCUUAAUUAAAAUAACUGCAUCAUCCCUGUAGGUAUUGUUUCAUUACUUAUGGUAAAUAAAAACUUUGCACUAACUAUAUUCCA